UACGUAGGGUGCAAGCGUUAAUCGGAAUUACUGGGCGUAAAGCGUGCGCAGGCGGUUAUAUAAGACAGAUGUGAAAUCCCCGGGCUCAACCUGGGAACUGCAUUUGUGACUGUAUAGCUAGAGUACGGCAGAGGGGGAUGGAAUUCCGCGUGUAGCAGUGAAAUGCGUAGAUAUGCGGAGGAACACCGAUGGCGAAGGCAAUCC
rnacentral:rRNA from 1 species